GACGUAGGGCGCAAGCGUUGUCCGGAAUUAUUGGGCGUAAAGAGCUCGUAGGCUGUUCGAUAAGUCGGGUGUGAAACCUCCAGGCUCAACCUGGAGACGCCACCCGAUACUGUCAUGACUAGAGUCCGGUAGGGGAGCGUGGAAUUCCUGGUGUAGCGGUGAAAUGCGCAGAUAUCAGGAGGAACACCAGCGGCGAAGGCGGCGCUCUGGGCCGGUACUGACGCUGAGGAGCGAAAGCGUGGGUAGCAAACAGG
rnacentral:rRNA from 1 species